GCUGAAGCCUGAGAGCUGAAGGAGUGGAGCCGUCCAGAGAGGAACCAUGGAGCCCGUCCUUGAGCUGGACCCUGGACCCCCUGAGGAACCUGAGGACACGUCUCUGGACAGGAGGCGGACCAGGAAGGGGAGAUCUGUUCUAAAGCUGUACGUCUGUGUCGCUCUGCUGUGUUUUCUACAAGCCACUCUCAACAUCUCCCUGCGCCUCUACUCAGAGACAUCUUGGACGAAGGGGAAAGAGCACCUGAUGGAUUCACUUGGUG